ACAACAACAUUUUCAUCAUUUCCACAAAUCAAUCAAUUUUCACGGGUUUAAUAGCACUAUUUUCAUCAUUUACACAAUUAAAUAUAUUUCAUGGGUUCAACAACAACAUUUUCAUCAUUCACACAAUUCAAUCAAAUUUCAUGGGUUUAACAACAACAUUUUUAUCAUUCACAUAAUUAAAUCAAAUUCUAUCGGUUUAAAAAUAACAUUUUCAUCAUUUACAGAAUUCAAUCAAAUUUCACGGGUUUAACGACAACAUUUUCAUCAUUCAUACAAUUCAAUCAAAUUUUAUGAGUUUAACAACAACAUUUUCAUCAUUCACACAAUUCAAUCAAAUUUCAUGGGUUUAACAACAACAACAUUUUCAUCAUUCACACAAUUCAAUCAAAUUUCAUGGGUUUAACAUCAACAUUUUCAUCAUUCACACAAUUCAAUCAAAUUUCAUGGGUUUAACAACAACAUUUUCAUCAUUCACACAAUUCAAUCAAAUUUCAUGGGUUUAACAACAACAUUUUCAUCAUUCACACAAUUCAAUCAAAUUUCAUGGGUUUAACAACAACAUUUUCAUCAUUCACACAAAUCAAUCAAUUUUCAUGGGUUUAAUAGCACUAUUUUCAUCAUUUACACAAUUGAAUAAAUUUCAUGGGUUUAUCAAUAACAUUUUCAUCAUUCACACAAUUCAAUCUUAUUUCAUGGGUUUAACAAAAAAGUCUUCAUCAUUCACACAAUUCAAUUGAAUUUUAUUGGUUUAACAACAACAUUUUCAUCAUUCCCACAAUUC
rnacentral:lncRNA from 1 species